rnacentral:rRNA from 1 species
GCACGAAGUUAGCCGGGGCUUCUUCUACGGGUACCGUCAUUAUCUUCCCCGCCGAAAGGGCUUUACAACCCUAGGGCCUUCAUCACCCACGCGGCAUGGCUGGAUCAGGCUUGCGCCCAUUGUCCAAUAUUCCCCACUGCUGCCUCCCGUAGGAGUCUGGGCCGUGUCUCAGUCCCAGUGAGGCUGGUCAUCCUCUCAGACCAGCUACCGAUCGUCGCCUUGGUGAGCCGUUACCUCACCAACAAGCUAAUCGGACGCGGGCCGUUCCUUCGGCAAUAAAUCUUUCCCCGUAAGGGCGUAUCCGGUAUUAGCCCAAGUUUCCCUGAGUUAUCCCGAACCGAAGGGCGCGUUCCCACGUGUUACUCUCCCGUCUGCCGCUGCCGUAUUGCUACGGCCGCUCGACUUGCAUGUGUUAGGCCUGCCGCCAGCGUUCGCU